ACCAGACUCCUACGGGAGGCAGCAGUCGGGAAUAUUGCGCAAUGGAGGAAACUCUGACGCAGUGACGCCGCGGAUAGGAAGAAGGUUUUCGGAUUGUAAACUAUUGUCGUUAGGGAAGAUACAAGACAGUACCUAAGGAGGAAGCCCCGGCUAACUAUGUGCCAGCAGCCGCGGUAAUACAUAGGGGGCAAGCGUUAUCCGGAUUUAUUGGGUGUAAAGGGUGCGUAGACGGAGAAACAAGUUGGUUGUGAAAUCCCUCGGCUCAACUGAGGAACUGCAACCAAAACUAUUUCCCUUGAGUGUCGGAGAGGAAAGUGGAAUUCCUAGUGUAGCGGUGAAAUGCGUAGAUAUUAGGAGGAACACCGGUGGCGAAGGCGGCCUGCUGGACGACGACUGACGCUGAGGCUCGAAAGCGUGGGGAGCAAACAGGAUUAGAUACCCUAGUAU
rnacentral:rRNA from 1 species